UACACUCCUGCGGGAGGCAGCAGUGAGGAAUAUUGGACAAUGGGUGGAAGCCUGAUCCAGCCAUCCCGCGUGCAGGAAGACGGCCCUAUGGGUUGUAAACUGCUUUUAUCUGGGGAUAAACCUACUUACGUGUAAGUAGCUGAAGGUACCAGAAGAAUAAGCACCGGCUAACUCCGUGCCAGCAGCCGCGGUAAUACGGAGGGUGCAAGCGUUAUCCGGAUUUAUUGGGUUUAAAGGGUCCGUAGGCGGACUGAUAAGUCAGUGGUGAAAUCCGACAGCUUAACUGUCGAACUGCCAUUGAUACUGUUAGUCUUGAGUAAGGUUGAAGUGGCUGGAAUAAGUAGUGUAGCGGUGAAAUGCAUAGAUAUUACUUAGAACACCAAUUGCGAAGGCAGGUCACUAAGUCUUAACUGACGCUGAUGGACGAAAGCGUGGGGAGCGAACAGGAUUAGAAACCCGAGUAGUCCCAUGA
rnacentral:rRNA from 1 species